UGCUGCCCUCGCCCGGCCCGGAGCGCCGCUGCCAUGCGGCUGGCGCUGCUCUGGGCUCUGGGGCUCCUGGGCGCGGGCAGCCCUCUGCCUUCCUGGCCGCUCCCAAAUAUAGGUGGCACUGAGGAGCAGCAGGCAGAGUCAGAGAAGGCCCCGAGGGAGCCCUUGGAGCCCCAGGUCCUUCAGGACGAUCUCCCAAUUAGCCUCAAAAAGGUGCUUCAGACCAGUCUGCCUGAGCCCCUGAGGAUCAAGUUGGAGCUGGACGGUGACAGUCAUAUCCUGGAGCUGCUACAGAAUAGGGAGUUGGUCCCAGGCCGCCCAACCCUGGUGUGGUACCAGCCCGAUGGCACUCGGGUGGUCAGUGAGGGACACACUCUGGAGAACUGCUGCUACCAGGGAAGAGUGCGGGGAUAUGCAGGCUCCUGGGUGUCCGUCUGCACCUGCUCUGGGCUCAGAGGCUUGGUGGUCCUGACCCCAGAGAGAAGCUAUACCCUGGAGCAGGGGCCUGGGGACCUUCAGGGUCCUCCCAUUAUUUCGCGAAUCCAAGAUCUCCACCUGCCAGGCCACACCUGUGCCCUGAGCUGGCGGGAAUCUGUACACACUCAGACGCCACCAGAGCACCCCCUGGGACAGCGCCACAUUCGCCGGUAGAGGCGGGAUGUGGUAACAGAGACCAAGACUGUGGAGUUGGUGAUUGUGGCUGAUCACUCGGAGGUGAGCCUGCUGGCCCCUGCACAUCCUCCUCCCCCUGCACUGCCCUGCCGCCUUUCAUGUCACCUCUCUUGGCCUACAGGCCCAGAAAUACCAGGACUUCCAGCACCUGCUAAACCGCACACUGGAAGUGGCUCUCUUGCUGGACACAGUGAGUGCUGGACAGAGCAACCCCCACCCCAGGCCCCUGACCAUGACAACCCCUCUUCUGAGCCCCAGCUGUCUUUCAGUUCUUCCAGCCCCUGAAUGUACGAGUGGCACUAGUGGGCCUGGAGGCCUGGACCCAGCGUGACCUGGUGGAGAUCAGCCCAAACCCAGCUGUCACCCUCGAAAACUUCCUCCACUGGCGCAGGGCACAUUUGCUGCCUCGAUUGCCCCAUGACAGUGCCCAGCUGGUGACUGGUACUUCAUUCUCUGGGCCUACGGUGGGCAUGGCCAUUCAGAACUCCAUCUGUUCUCCUGACUUCUCAGGAGGUGUGAACAUGGACCACUCCACCAGCAUCCUGGGAGUCGCCUCCUCCAUAGCCCAUGAGUUGGGCCACAGCCUGGGCCUGGACCAUGAUUUGCCUGGGAAUAGCUGCCCCUGUCCAGGUCCAGCCCCAGCCAAGACCUGCAUCAUGGAGGCCUCCACAGACUUCCUACCAGGCCUGAAUUUCAGCAACUGCAGCCGACGGGCCCUGGAGAAAGCCCUCCUGGAUGGAAUGGGCAGCUGCCUCUUUGAACGGCUGCCUAGCCUACCCACUAUGGCUGCUUUCUGCGGAAAUAUGUUUGUGGAGCCGGGCGAGCAGUGUGACUGUGGCUUCCUGGAUGACUGCAUCGAUCCCUGCUGUGAUUCCUCGACCUGCCAGCUGAGGCCAGGUGCACAGUGUGCAUCUGACGGACCCUGUUGUCAAAAUUGCCAGCUGCGCCCGUCUGGCUGGCAGUGUCGUCCUACCAGAGGGGAUUGUGACUUGCCUGAAUUCUGCCCAGGAGACAGCUCCCAGUGUCCCCCUGAUGUCAGCCUAGGGGAUGGCGAGCCCUGCGCUGGUGGGCAAGCUGUGUGCAUGCACGGGCGUUGUGCCUCCUAUGCCCAGCAGUGCCAGUCACUUUGGGGACCUGGAGCCCAGCCCGCUGCGCCACUUUGCCUCCAGACAGCUAAUACUCGGGGAAAUGCUUUUGGGAGCUGUGGGCGCAACCCCAGUGGCAGUUAUGUGUCCUGCACCCCUAGAGAUGCCAUUUGUGGGCAGCUCCAGUGCCAGACAGGUAGGACCCAGCCUCUGCUGGGCUCCAUCCAGGAUCUACUCUGGGAGACAAUAGAUGUGAAUGGGACUGAGCUGAACUGCAGCUGGGUGCACCUGGACCUGGGCAGUGAUGUGGCCCAGCCCCUCCUGACUCUGCCUGGCACAGCCUGUGGCCCUGGCCUGGUGUGUAUAGACCAUCGAUGCCAGCGUGUGGAUCUCCUGGGGGCACAGGAAUGUCGAAGCAAAUGCCAUGGACAUGGGGUCUGUGACAGCAACAGGCACUGCUACUGUGAGGAGGGCUGGGCACCCCCUGACUGCACCACUCAGCUCAAAGCAACCAGCUCCCUGACCACAGGGCUGCUCCUCAGCCUCCUGGUCUUAUUGGUCCUGGUGAUGCUUGGUGCCAGCUACUGGUACCGUGCCCGCCUGCACCAGCGACUCUGCCAGCUCAAGGGACCCACCUGCCAGUACAGGGCAGCCCAAUCUGGUCCCCCUGAACGGCCAGGACCUCCGCAGAGGGCCCUGCUGGCACAAGGCACUAAGCAGGCUAGUGCUCUCAGCUUCCCGGCCCCCCCUUCCAGGCCGUUGCCGCCUGACCCUGUGUCCAAGAGACUCCAGGCUGAGCUGGCUGACCGACCCAAUCCCCCUACCCGCCCUCUGCCCGCUGACCCGGUGGUGAGAAGCCCGAAGUCUCAGGGGCCAGCCAAGCCCCCACCCCCAAGGAAGCCAUUGCCUGCCGACCCCCAGGGCCGGUGCCCAUCGGGUGACCUGCCCGGCCCAGGGGCUGGAAUCCCGCCCCUAGUGGUACCCUCCAGACCAGCGCCACCGCCCCCGACAGUGUCCUCGCUCUACCUCUGACCUCUCCGGAGGUUCCGCUGCCUCCAAGCCGGACUUAGGGCUUCAAGAGGCGGGCGUGCCCUCUGGAGUCCCCUACCAUGACUGAAGGCGCCAGAGACUGGCGGUGUCUUAAGGCUCCGGGCACCGCCACGCGCUGUCAAGCAACACUCUGCGGACCUGCCGGCGUAGUUGCAGCGGGGGCUUGGGGAGGGGCUGGGGGUUGGACGGGAUUGAGGAAGGUCCGCACAGCCUGUCUCUGCUCAGCUGCAAUAAACGUGACAUCUUGG
rnacentral:sRNA from 1 species